rnacentral:rRNA from 1 species
GAGGAAUAUUGGUCAAUGGACGCAAGUCUGAACCAGCCACGUCGCGUGAAGGAAGACGGCCCUACGGGUUGUAAACUUCUUUUGCAAGGGAAUAAAGUGGGCCACGUGUGGCCUUUUGCAUGUACCUUGCGAAUAAGGAUCGGCUAACUCCGUGCCAGCAGCCGCGGUAAUACGGAGGAUCCGAGCGUUAUCCGGAUUUAUUGGGUUUAAAGGGUGCUCAGGCGGGCGAUUAAGUCGGCGGUGAAAUUUUGCGGCUCAACCGUAAAAGUGCCUUCGAAACUGGUCACCUUGAGUGCGGAUGAGGUAGGCGGAAUUUGUGGUGUAGCGGUGAAAUGCAUAGAUAUCACGAGGAACUCCGAUUGCGCAGGCAGCUUACUAAACCGUAACUGACGCUCAAGCACGAAGGCGUGGGGAUCAAAC